rnacentral:tRNA from 9 species
GCCCGGGUGGUGAAAUUGGUAGACGCAGGGGACUCAAAAUCCCCCGCCAGAGAUGGCGUGCCGGUUCGAUUCCGGCCCCGGGCACCA